CCGUAAAAUAUAUACUCACACUAACAAACGCCCGGGUAUUACGAGCCUCAGCUUAAAACCCAAAGGACUUGACGGUGUCCCAUCCAACUAGAGGAGCCUGUUCUAUAAUCGAUAACCCCCGAUACACCUAACCCCUCCUUGCCAAUCAGCCUGUAUACCUCCGUCGCAAACUUACCAUAUGAAUGCCAAUAGUAGGUUAAAUGGUUAUAUCACCAACACGUCAGGUCAAGGUGCAGCUCAUGAUAGGGAAAGCAAUGGGCUACAAUUUCUAAAAUAGAACACACGGAAUGCUGCAUGAAACACAGCCGCGAAGGCGGAUUUAGUAGUAAAAAGAAAAUAAAGUGUCCUUUUUAAUAAGGCCCUGGGACGUGUACACACCGCCCGUCACCCUCUUCAACAGCACACAAUAUGUUCCUAACAACUCUUGCACCCUAGAAGAGGCAAGUCGUAACAUGGUAAGUGUACCGGAAGGUGCACUUGGAUUUACAAAGUAUAGUUUAACAAAACCUCCCGCUUACACCGAGAAUAUAUCUGUGGGAAUCAGAUUACUUUGAGCCUAAAAUUAAGCCUAACCCACCCCCAUGAAAACCACUUCCAACUAAACAACAAUAAAACAUUUUAUCAGUUUAGUAAAGGCGAUUAAAAAACUUCCUAGCGCUUUACUUCUAGUACCGCAAGGGAAAAACCCCCCCCCCCAAAAAAAAUAAGUGGGCCUAAAAGCAGCCACCUUUAAGAAAGCGUUAAAGCUUCUUUUUCCAAAAAUCUAAUACCAAAACACACCUUUAACCCUUUAUUCCUACUGAAUGAUUCUAUAYUCACUAUAGAAGCCCCAAUGCUAAAACUAGUAACAAGAAAUUGACUUUCUCCAAAAUACAAGCAUAAACCAAAAUGGACUAACCAUUGGUUAUUAACGUCAAUUAAUCAAUAUAGCAACUAUAUCAAGAAAACACUAUUAGUUAUUACGUUAACCUUACACAAGUGUAUUUCCGGAAAGAUUUAAAGAGGGGGAAGGAACUCGGCAAAUAAUAACCUCGCCUGUUUACCAAAAACAUCGCCUCUUGACAAAAUAUAAGAGGUCCAGCCUGCCCAGUGAUAUAAUUAAACGGCCGCGGUACCCUGACCGUGCAAAGGUAGCAUAAUCACUUGUUCCCUAAAUAGGGACUCGUAUCAACGGCAUCACGAGGGUUAUACUGUCUCCCCCCUCUAAUCAGUGAAACUGACCUCCCCGUGAAGAGGCGGGGAUAUUUAUACAAGACGAGAAGACCCCAUGGAGCUUUAAACCCAAUAGCAACCUCCACCAAAGUACCCUAAAAAUGAAGAGGCACUGUUUAUUGGUUUUAGGUUGGGGUGACCACGGAGAAAAACUAAACCUCCAUGACGAAUGGACCUUAAGCCUAAUCUAAGAGCCACUACUCCAAGAAUCAUUAAUUUGACAUAAUUUGAUCCGGCAACCGAUCAACGAACCAAGUUACCCUGGGGAUAACAGCGCAAUCCAUUUCAAGAGCCCCUAUCGACAAAUGGGUUUACGACCUCGAUGUUGGAUCAGGGUAUCCCAGUGGUGCAGCCGCUACUAAAGGUU
rnacentral:misc_RNA from 1 species